rnacentral:rRNA from 1 species
GACAGAGGUGCCAAGCGUUAGGCGGAAUCACUGGGCUUAAAGCGUGUGUAGGCGGGUGCCUAAGUCCCCUGUGAAAUCCCACGGCUCAACCGUGGAACUGCUGGGUAUACUGGGUGCCUUGGGUCAUCUAGGGGCUGCCGGAACAAAUGGUGGAGCGGUGAAAUGCGUAGAUAUCAUUUGGAACGCCAACGGCGAAAGCAGGCAGCUGGGGAUGCACCGACGCUGAGACACGAAAGCCAGGGGAGCGAACGGG